rnacentral:lncRNA from 1 species
CUGCAUCUCUUAGGGAAGGAAGUUUUGGACUCUGGAAGAAGAUCCUCUACAUUCUCAUUUUAAAACUGUACUAUCUCUCAUAUUACGGGUGAAUUCUCAACAGGAAAGUUAUUUGUGGUAGCAGGUUGUGUUUUCCAAAGAUGGUCAUAAUGUUUCCCACCCCACAUACUCUCCUGUAACCUUGACAAUGUUCCAUUAAGGAGUGUUCCCUCUGUGUUCUCUCCCUUCAAUCCUGGGCAGGCUUUAAUGAUUGUCUUGACAAAUAUAGUACAGGUUGUUGUGUAUCGCUAAUCCCAAAAUAUCCAAAAUCCAAAACACUUCUGGCCCCAAGCAUUUUGGAUAAGGGAUCCUCAACCUAUGUGGUGGAAGUAAGCAGUGUGACUUCUGAAUUAGGUAACAAAUAUGCUAUGCGCUUCUACUUUGCUCUUGCAGAAUGCUCAUGCUUGGAACCCUAUGUCCAAGUUGUAAGGAAGCCCAAGCAGCCCAUAAAGAGGCCCACGUUAAGAAGAACCAGGACCCACAGUCUAAGUGAACUCUCAGCUAAUAGCACCAUUUUGCCAACCAUGAGUCAAACUGGCAGCUUCAAGGACCUUGGCUGAAAUUGGUCCAUUUGGAUAUGUGUGCUUGUUUCUGCAAUGUCCUGAAUGACUGUGGGAAAGGGCUUCACAAGGCUUCAUAAGACACCUGGAUCUCAUAUCUGCUUCUGCAUUCAAUCUGUUGCACCAAGUUGUUUUGACUGAAGGGUAUGAAGAAAAACUGGCCUCAUCCAAAUAUGCGGUUGGAAAAGGGUGGAGUAUUUUAACAGCCCUUCAAAUAAUUGGUCCCAGUGAUCAAGCUUUGUCUCCAGCAUCAUUUUACCCUUUAUUCUUGGAAGGGACACUGGAGGCGACUGAUUCCAACCCCUCGACUUGAAAGUUGAAAGAUGCAAAGCACAGAGCAGGGGAUGACAUGCUCAAGGCCCCAUCACCAGUCGGAGGCAGACCUGCAUAGAACUUGGGACAUAAAUGUAGGCACACACAAAACCCAGAGACAUUCCACCGACAUUUAAAAUCAAGAAUCCUCCCUGAUAUAGUAUGACCUUGUAAAUGAUGCAAAGGGUUUGAACAAUUCAAAACAAACAAACAAACAAAAAAACAGGUCUAGGAUAAGUUUUUUCAAAAUCAUCAAAUAUAAAUUUCAACCCAAUUUUUUAAUUUCAUAAAACCAAGGUUAAAAGAGGUUGAGUGAUUAGUUAAAAGUUAUGGGCAAGUGAUGGUAACGUCAAGCCUCUAAUUCAUAUAUUUGCCAAGCUCUAGCUUUGAAUGAUAUUGUAACUCGAAAGGAAUAAUGUUGUUCUUUUUAGAAAAUAACAUGGUCAUGGUAGACCACUUGGAAAAAUAUACAUAAACAUAAGGACAAAGUGACCCAUACAUUAAAGAUAAUCACUGUUAAUAUUUUUAUUAAAUGAAAAGCAUUACAUGUAACUUUACCUAAGUUUAUCAGAAAAAAAGAAUUAAAGAGGGUCGGUAUGGUGGUUCACGCCUAUAAUCCCAGCACUCUGG